rnacentral:rRNA from 1 species
UGGUGGCGCACGGGUGGGUAACGCGUGGGAAUCUGCCCUCAGGUUCGGAAUAACAGCGAGAGGUUGCUGCUAAUACCGGAUGAUAUCGCGAGAUCAAAGAUUUAUCGCCUGAGGAUGAGGCCGCGUAGGAUUAGCUAGUUGGUGUGGUAAAGGCGCACCAAGGCGACGAUCCUUAGCUGGUGUGAGAGGAUGAUCAGCCCCCCUGGGACUGAGACACGGCCCAGACUCCUACGGGAGGCAGCAGUGGGGAAUAUU